rnacentral:rRNA from 1 species
GACAGAGGGUGCAAACGUUGUUCGGAAUUACUGGGCGUAAAGCGAGUGUAGGCGGUGUGGUAAGUCGGAUGUGAAAGCCCCGGGCUCAACCCGGGAAGUGCACUCGAUACUGCCACGCUAGAGUAUCGGAGAGGUUGGUGGAAUUCUCGGUGUAGAGGUGAAAUUCGUAGAUAUCGAGAGGAACACCGGUGUCGAAGGCGGCCAACUGGACGAAUACUGACGCUGAGACUCGAAAGCGUGGGGAGCAAACAGG